rnacentral:piRNA from 9 species
CCUUCGAUAGCUCAGUUGGUAGAGC